UCGCCAGCGCGGUUUCUACGCGACAACACUGCUGCCAGCAGGCGAAUUCAAUGACAAGCCCAGACUGGGAAAAACCCGACAGUGUUGAAUUAUACGAGAACAGAGAAAUGCCAACAUUCUGCUAAUAAAUUAACAUGUACAGGAGUAUCACGGUUUUGCGGCUUCACCUGCAGACAUCAGCUGAUUGCUGGGUUUGGGCCAGAACUGACUCUGGACUUUGAUGGGAUCCACAGAGGCUAAGGUGAGCGUAGGGGCGAUGGGGUGCGAUGACGCCAGGGACAGCCGUGCAGCCAUGAGCCCCAUCCGAACACAGCUGUCUGUGUCUCGCCGCUGAAGAAUCCCAGCCAUUAAGGCACCUGCAAGACUGCAGACAAAUAAUUGCUGGGUAAUGGAGAGCACAAAGCUGCCUCCUCUGCGAACACAGGUUGACCGAGCCUGCAUCAUGCUCUCCACACACCAACACCCCUUCAGCCCCCAGAGUCACCACCAGACAAUGAAGAUGCUCCAGAAGGGGGCGUGCGAGAGCUACACCAACACUCAGUAUGUCGUCAAAAGAGCUUGGCAGCACUGUCACCCCACAAGACAAAACCACAUCCUCAUCUAUGACUGUUUGCAUUUUUCACAAGAACCCUGUAACAACUGUGUGGGAAUACGUGUAUAAGAGCAAAUCUACAGUAGAUCUAUUAAAUACUCAUUAAGGAAUACAGUUUACCUUCAGGUGUUGGAACACCCAGUGUUUUGUUCAUGGUGCACAACUCUGCCAGGUUUGGGGAUGCAUAGGACAGAGACUUCCAGGCAUCUGAAAGGAAAGGCUUACAAGCCUUUUCUGAAUCUGUUGGCUCAUACCAAACUAUGACACACAUAGUUGGUAUUGUAUUAAAAUCAAGUGUUUACAAUCA